rnacentral:tRNA from 1 species
GCAUUGGUGGUUCAGUGAUAGAGUUCUCACUUUCUAACUGGGAGACCAGGGUUUGUUCCUGCUAAUGUA